AUUGAGACACCUACCUUGCAAGUUGUAAGCACAACACAACACACUAUCUUCCUUCCAUUACUUUCUAGUCACCAAGGCUAAUAAUUUUCUCACUCACCACUCUCUACACUCAAUAGUAAAAUGGGAGGAAACAAUCAAAGAAAGUCUAAAUCUUCAUUCAGGUCUGUUUUCAACAUUUUCAAAUCUAGCAGCAACAAGCAAAGAGGGUAUGAUUAUUAUGAUGAUGGCGCAAAGCAACGGAACAAAGUGUGGCCAAGUGAUGAAGAUAGAGGCAGUUGGGGUGUAGCUGAUCCCGUUAUUGACAUGAGAGCUACAGCUUUCAUUGCACAAUACAAGAAACGAAUUUCUGAGUCUGAAAUUCAUUGGCAAGCUCAACCUGAGCAGUAGGAACAUACAAGCUUAUCUGUUUAUCCAUUUUUAAUAAUUUGUUUGUACCUCUCUGUUGUAAUUAGUUAUUGAUUACCAUUUGUGAACCAUGAUAUAAGUAAUGUUAAAUAUGUUAUGAAUAAUAAUCUUUGAAGUUUGUUUUCCCUUCAUGACUUUUUCUUCCAACAACAUAAUUUAAUUCUAAUGUAGAGAACAAUGCAAAUUAUUCAGAUAAAAUGUUUCUGUAGUAAGUUACUUAUUUUUUUGUUUUUGCUAAAGAACUUCAUUAAGGUUAAUCAAUGGUUUAAAGGGCUUAAUUGUUUCAAUCAUUAUGCAUGGUCUUGCUUAUCCCUUUUUAGGCGAAGUUAAUGAUCGAAAUCAUUAACUUUAUCCUCCAACCAAUGCACAACUCUGCAUGGCUUCCUUGCUGAUAAUGAUAUCUCUUAAGACUGUUAUAUAUUGAGUAAUGAUAUUCGACAGAGUUUUUUCCUAUACCUGCGACACUUGGUUAUUCACUUCGAAAAAUAUGGUUAAAUUAAGUUGAUAGUUAAAUCAAAUCAUGAUCGAAAUUGUUGUUAAUUCAAUUAUAUGUUAACAAUCUACUUGAUUGAAAUACAAUUUUGGACGUGAUUAACCAGAUGUCGCAGAUGUAGGGAAAAUUGGGUGUACAUGAAAUUUUGUUGUUAUAUAUUUAUGGAAUAUGAUCUAUAAUACAAAUACUACACAUUCUACAUCUUGAGAGCGAAAGAAAUAGAACGAGAAAGUUGGUAUGUUAGUGAUAUGAUAGGAAGAGAAAGAUAGAGAAAAAAUGAGAUAUCAAAUGAAUGUUAGACAGUUAAGAGUGCAGUCCUAGAGUUUUCUUAUUCAUCACGUCACUGUUGUUAUCUGUUUCGGCUUUAGAAGGGUCAGGAGCAGAGUUUGAUUUACCAAAACAUAAAAUAUGGACGCAGUUGUGAAUAACGUCACAACUGCGGCCGUUGCAAUUGUGGACACUGCAACUGUUAUAAUUACUAAUUAGCUGUGAGAUGUUCUUUUGACAUGUUCUUAAGCUACUGAUUUUCACUAUAACAGUUUUAUAAUGUUAAUUAUAUGCUCUCAUAUCUUGCUGUGAGAUGUUCUUUUGAGACAUAAUCAAAUCUGAUGUCUAGCUUAGUCUUAUACUCCAAAUUUUAAAUGAUUUAGAUAUUUAUCAGAUAUUUUAGUUUGUUCUUUUUUUGAACAAAAAGAUAUUUUAUUCUAGAAUUUGUAAGUUAAUUAAAGACAGAAAGACCAUAGUACUAGCUUAUUUUAUUAUUAAGUAAUAUAUAGUAAAGAAAAUUUUUCUGAAAAAAUACAGCAAAGAAAGUAACACAGCUGCCAAUAAUACUUUAAUUAGUAAAGGAAUGAACAAAGGAAGAAAGAGAAUUUGAAUGCCUACUCUCAAUUAGUUAGAAAUCAAAUCUGAUAGGUAUCUGUCUAGUUUAAGAGGUGUGUAUUGAAAAAAACUCAAGUUGCAAGUUGCACAUAUAGAAUGUAUAAAGCCUUAAAUGAGUUUAUAAUUAACAGUAGCACAUCAACAAAAUCAUUGAACAAGAAACACAACCAACACAUCAAUCAAAGAAACCAUUGGACUAGAGAAAAUGUGCCUUUGUUUGUCAAAAAAGUUGAACCAAAAUUUACUGUUCCAUGUGAUCUUGUUUAAACCAUGAAUAUUGGACUCACUCACUCUAGUGGUUUGCAUCAGAUUCUUUGUCUUAGUUAACAAAAGGAGUGUUUAGAAGUAAUUAGUACCAUAUAAAUUGAGACCCCUAGCUUCCAAAUUGUAGCACAACACAACACACUUCCUUCAAUACUACUUUCUAGUCACUAAGGCCAAUAAUAUUCUCACUCACCACUCUCUACUCAAGUAGUGAAAUGGGAGGAAACAAUCAAAGAAAGUCUAAAUCUUCAUUCAGGUCAAUUUUCAACAUUUUUAAAUCUAGUAGCAACAAACAAAGAGGGUAUGAUUAUUAUGAUGAUGGUGCAAAGCAACGGAACAAAGUGUGGCCUAGUGAUGAAGAUAGAGGCAGUUGGGGUGUUGCUGAUCCUGUCAUUGACAUGAAAGCUACAGCUUUCAUUGCUCAAUACAAGAAACGAAUUUCCGAGUCUGAAAUUCACUGCCAAGCUCAACCUGACCAGUAGGAAGAAACAAAUUUAUCCAUUUUUAAUUUCUUUCUUCCUCUCUGGUGUAAUUAGUUAUUGAUUAUCAUUUGUGAACCAUGACAAGUAAUGUUUAAUAUGAAUAAUAUUUCAUGUUUCAUUAGAGUAUUGAAUUAUUGAUUCCAAUGUAGUGAACAAGUGCAAAGUAUGCAAUGCAGAUAA
rnacentral:lncRNA from 1 species